AGUCUCCUUGUGUGGAACUAUCGUGGGGCUGGCAACCACGCGACAGUCAAAGAGCUUCGGGAUAUGUCGAAGCAAUAGGCCCCCUCUAUCUUAUGCAUUUUGGAAACUCAAAUAGGGUCCCAUGUUGAAAAUUUAUCUAGCACUUUAGGUUUUGAUAGAAGUUUUGCUGUUUGUAGUAAUGGAAGGAGUGGAGGCCUUGGAAUAUUUUGGAAUGAUGCAAUAAAAGUUGAUAUUGUUGGCUACUCUGAGUAUCAUACAGAUGUUAAGGUUGAUGAUUUAAUGGAAUCACAGGUGAGGCAAACCUUUGUAUAUGGAGAAGCCCAGGUGGCUGAGAGAUAUAAGACCUGGAACAUGCUUAAAGGUAUAGUGGGGACGGGCACUGGCCCUUGGGCAGUCAUCGGUGAUUUUAACGAAGUCCUUCAAGCUUAUGAACACGACGGCGUGAACAACCGUAGCCAGGCGCAGAUGGAUGCAUUUCGAGAUGCCCUAGAUAUCUGUGGGCUAUCGGAUAUUGGCUAUAAGGGCUUAAAUUGGACCUUUGAGAAGAAAGUCGCCGGGGGAACUUACGCUAGGGUUUGA
rnacentral:rRNA from 1 species